rnacentral:snoRNA from 1 species
GCGCCCGAACAGGGCGCGACGAAACCCGGGCGCCAUGACGGCGGCGUCGGGGGGACAGGGUGCAAAGUACCCAACCAUGAACCCCGCCCUCCAGCCCGGGUCACA